CUCGGGAUACCAAAGGAGCAAUCCGCUGAAAGAUGGGCUCAUAUCUGAUUAGCUAGUUGGUGGGGUAACGGCCUACCAAGGCUGCGAUCAGUAGCCGGACUGAGAGGUUGAACGGCCACAUUGGGACUGAGAUACGGCCCAGACUCCUACGGGAGGCAGCAGUGGGGAAUAUUGGGCAAUGGGCGAAAGCCUGACCCAGCAACGCCGCGUGAAGGAAGAAGGUCUUCGGAUUGUAAACUUCUUUUAUGAGGGACGAAGGACGUGACGGUACCUCAUGAAUAAGCCACGGCUAACUACGUGCCAGCAGCCGCGGUAAUACGUAGGUGGCAAGCGUUAUCCGGAUUUACUGGGUGUAAAGGGCGCGUAGGCGGGGAUGCAAGUCAGAUGUGAAAUCUAUGGGCUUAACUCAUAAACUGCAUUUGAAACUGUGUCUCUUGAGUGCUGGAGAGGUAGACGGAAUUCCUUGUGUAGCGGUGAAAUGCGUAGAUAUAAGGAAGAACACCAGUGGCGAAGGCGGUCUACUGGACAGUAACUGACGCUGAGGCGCGAAAGCGUGGGGAGCAAACAGGAUUAGAUACCC
rnacentral:rRNA from 1 species